GUGCCAGCCGCCGCGGUAAUACGGGGGGUGCAAGCGUUAUUCGGAAUUAUUGGGCGUAAAGGGCGCGUAGGCGGUCUUUUAAGUCAGAUGUGAAAGCCCGGGGCUCAACCCCGGAAGUGCAUUUGAAACUAAGGGACUUGAGUAUGGGAGAGGGAAGUGGAAUUCCUGGUGUAGAGGUGAAAUUCGUAGAUAUCAGGAGGAACACCGGUGGCGAAGGCGACUUCCUGGACCAAUACUGACGCUGAGGUGCGAAGGCGUGGGUAGCAAACAGGAUUAGAAACCCGGGUAGUCC
rnacentral:rRNA from 1 species